rnacentral:rRNA from 1 species
GACGAACGCUGGCGGCGUGCUUAACACAUGCAAGUCGUACGGUAAGGCCCUUUCGGGGGUACACGAGUGGCGAACGGGUGAGUAACACGUGAGUAACCUGCCCACAACUUUGGGAUAACGCUAGGAAACUGGUGCUAAUACUGGAUAUGUGCUCCUGCUGCAUGGUGGGGGUUGGAAAGCUCCGGCGGUUGUGGAUGGACUCGCGGCCUAUCAGCUUGUUGGUGGGGUAGUGGCCUACCAAGGCGGCGACGGGUAGCCGGCCUGAGAGGGUGACCGGCCACAUUUGGACUGAGAUACGGCCCAGACUCCUACGGGAGGCAGCAGUGGGGAAUAUUGCACAAUGGGCGCAAGCCUGAUGCAGCAACGCCGCGUGCGGGAUGACGGCCUUCGGGUUGUAAACCGCUUUCAGCAGGGACGAAGCUUUUUGUGACGGUACCUGCAGAAGAAGCACCGGCUAACUACGUG